rnacentral:lncRNA from 1 species
GCCACUGCAGUACAAGAAUUGAGACAAGACACCACGACAAUGAACAACAACAUCACUACCAUGAUGCGAUUCUGGAACAUUGGGUAAGACCGACAACCACAUCCAGCUUGGGGGAGUUCCUCCCCAUUUUAUCAAGUAAGUUUUUAUUUGCUUUUCUUAUUUAUUCUUUUCUGUUUUAGUGUUUUAUUUUAAAGAGAAAAAAACUUAGAAAACCUAAUAAAUAUUUUAUUGCUUUAAUUUACUGCAUUCUAUAAACAUGAAAACAAAAUAAAAAGAGUGUGUAGAUAAGUGUGCUUAUUUAUCUGCCAAGUGUUAAUCUCUAGAAAAAUAAAAAGACCAAAAAGAUGCUUGAUGGAAAUGAUGAACAGUUGCUCUAUUUACUUACUUUCGAGUACCUAGCUUUUAUAUUAGAGUUCUUCCAGGAAUUACUAAAAACUAAAAUUGAAUAUCUAUGGGAAGCAUGAACCUAAAACUAAAGUCUAGGUAAGAGAAGGACAUGAUAUAAAGUUUGAGCUGUUGUUUAUCUUGUUCCUACUACACUGAGUUCUCGAGAUUUAUUUUGAAAACUUGCAAAUCACAUGAUGAGUUCCUAGCAUGACAAAAUUCCUACCACAGCCAUACUUCCUAUAACAUCUUUUACUUAUAUUCACAUUAAGUUUGAUCGAGCUGUGUAGACCCUUAAGACUUUUCAUGUGGUUAAAUUAAGAUAUUCACUAGCACAUAUCUACUACACCAUUCACCACCAUUCAUUAAAAUCUGUUAAAAAUAUUAUCACUCACUAUCCCAAGUGUUGUUAUUCUCUCUCUCCAAAAAGAUUCAAUGCAGAAGAGACAUGGGUUAUGCAAUAAUAUGUGAGGAAAUAAAAAGGGGCAAGUGCCCGGAACCUCGAAAAAGAAAAAAAAAGAGUGAGACGAGAGGUAAAAAUGGACAAGUGUCCGGAGUAGAAUUAGGGGUACAAAGAUGCCCACGUGAGCAGAAAAAUGGACAAGUGUCCGACAGUAGAAUUAGGGGUAUUUACUACCCACCUGGAAAAAAAAGAGAGAUAGCCCAUGUUCUCCGAAGGCAAAGAUCAAGAGAGAAGGAGAGAUAGCAAUAUGAGGAGCAAUGAGAAGUAAGUUUUAUCAUCACUUAUACAUUUUUACCAUCACUAUCAUUUACUCCACCACACAUGCACAUCUUGAUUUAAUUAUAUGUUGAGUUCCUUUGGAUCCAUGGCUCAAUUAGACAACAUAUGUAUCAGCUAUUUUUCACACCUAUGAGCUCCACUUAAAUAUUCCAUUAGCUAUAGGUAGGUGACAUCUUUGUAAGGAUCCACAAAUACCACAUAUAGAGAGACUUGAGAGAAUCAUAGCUGGGAACUCUGAGUUUUAUUUUUGAAAACUUAUGCAAAACUCCGAAACAAAGGUGAAGUAUAGACAGGAGGAAUAGUGCUUGACUAAACUAUUUUAUCUUUCGAUUACUUAAGAUUUAAGUGCAGGUACUAAGCUCCAUGACACUUCACUCUAAUCUCAAAGAAUUUUUAUGUGAAAGCAUGUGUGCCUGUCAGGAAAGAAACAUCGAAGCAACUCCUGAUCCAUCUGAGUUUAGCUGUUUGCUCAGGGACGAGCAAAGGGUAAGCUUGGGGGAGUUUGUUGACAGUCCUUAAGUACUAAAUUUAAUCAUUAACUAACUAUAGAAAAGGAUCAAUAUGCACCAAACAUCUAGAAUUAGGGUUUUAUCUGACAGAAUUCCACGAGCUUUGGUGUUUGUCUAUUUCUGCAGGGGGUUAUCAGAAAAUAUGGAGAGAAGGCACACAUGUCAUGUUUACAAUGAGAUAAUUACGUGCCGCGCAAUUUUCCUUAAUCUAGAAGAGUCCAGAAGCCACGGGAACGAACGGGAGACCGGACGGGCUCGGGGGUAGGGCGCCCGCCCUGGCCUCGGGGCCAAUCACAACCAAUCUCGCAGAUUAUGCUCCACCGACCUAAAGGAUCAAGGAAAACCGUGCGAUCAAUGUCGGUUUGAUCCGACGGCCCAAAUUCACUUGAGAGGACUAUAUAAGCAAGACCUCUCCACCCCAGGGGGAGGGAGGAAAAAUCAUUAUCAGAGGAAGUCAUCAAAGUUAGGGUUUUAGAUCUUCUCUCCCAUAGAGAAUUAGAAUUAGCUACUCCCUAAUCCUUCAAGUUUAGAGGAUUGAUUAGAUAGAAUUAGAGCAGUAGAGCCUAGCGCUCUGGAUUCGGAUCUUCCUUAAUAAAGAUUGGUAUUAUUUCAUAUCUUUCUCUACUACUUUAUUCUAAUUGCAUUAUGUCUCUAUUUAUUAUGCUCUUAGUUUGCUCUAGUUCUAUAUUUGAUAUAGUUAUGAUUGAUAAUGAGUUUAUGUAUAAGUUUGCAAAGCGCUUAGCUCUUUACACGUGGGAGUUAAGUGGUAGAUCACAUGUAGGCAUGGUGCUUAGAUGAUAUUUACCUGCAAAUGUAUCUUAUUGGCCGGGCCGUGUGGUAGUUCGCGAUAGUGACAGCUUCGUUGAUUCUUAUAUAGUCCACUCUCCAUUGAUAGGACAGGCAAAAUUUGUAUUGCGGAGUAAGUCUUGCGAUGCUCUGAUUUACUUUAGCAAUGUUCCUUAUACAUGAAUGAAGAGUCUUUUAUGUUAUAUAUGAUCUUGUAGAUAACUAGAGUAGAUUGUGACUUAGUAGAUAGUAGAUAACUUAGAAUCCAUUCUCUAGCUAAUACGACGUCACAUUACAUAAAUGAUAGUAGUCUAUUUUCUAAUCGCUGUGUUAUUUACCCAUGAGCUUAUAUUUCAUUAUCAUUAUUAUUAUGGCUUACCCCCCUGCCAAAAUAAGUGACUGUGUGAUGAGUUCCUCAUUAGUAAUCAUAUUCUUGCAAGUUUAUCUCUAGUCUAUGCCUUGAUAGAUUUUAUCCUUAUCUUCAUUUCCACUGUUCUCUUAAGCAAAAUUAUAAAAAACAAUACCUGGAAUACUUUCCUGGUGAAAUGCUACAAUGAGGUAUUUUAUCUGUGCGCUUGUGGAUAGAAUAGAUUAUUUUCUAGAGAGCCUUUACAUUCAUAAAUACCUUCGUACACUCUGGCACCAUGCUGGGGAUGACAACCUAGUAUCCAAGUGGUGUUAGUAAGUGUUAACAUCGUUCAUAUGAAUAAAAGAGACAAACACGUAUGAUUUACAACUCUAGAUUAACCAACCCAAUCGAUUCAACAUGUUUAGUCCUUCCACCUUUGUGAUCCCACACUCCUAAUCAUAUGAAGUAAAAUAUUGCACACUCAAUCUUUGGAAGAUAUAUAUAAAAAACAUAAAUAUAGAUAGAUUAUCUUUCUAUUAGGUUGAGCGAUCUGAUCCGACAAAUGUUUUAAAUGCUACACUCAUGAUCUUAUUAUCCAUCAACUUUGUCUUGCUCACUAUGCUUAAGGUUAGAGAAGAACAAAUACACUUUUGGUUCUGUUGGUGUUUUCCACCAAUAGGGCCCAUGCACUUGAUCUCUGCCUUGUCUCUAUGAGCAGGUACACUUCGAGCAAAACAUGGAGGAGUUUUACAACUCCCAGACUCCACCAAGUGAAGGACCUGGAUCUACGAGCACAAACACACUGAGCAGGAUAUUGCCAACGCAGCACUUCGAACUGUUGGGCAAGCAUGGGUGACACCGUAUCAAGAGGUGCAGACGUCAAGGUCCACACUUGAAUCAAAUGACGCACCUAAAGAAUGAACACGGUGAGAAGUCUUGUCCAGAAGACUUAAAACAUUGGAUCCUUGCCGGAAGGUAAAAUCGGUAUUUAUCCAUAUUUAUCUUUUCUGCAUUCAUUUUCCUUUUUAUUCCAUCACUUGCAUUAGCAUAUUAACUUUUCCACAUUAGCAUUAGAAAAGAAAACAAAAAUAUUUAUUCGUUGCACUGCAUCAUAAAAUCUAAAGCCCCAUAUGAGUAGACUUGUGGUUUAAAACCCAUAGGUAUAUUGACUGUGGUGGCAUAAAAUAAAUAUGUUUUCAUCCUACAAUAAAAAUAUAAAAAUAAAUUUAUGAUCCUACCAAAGAGAGUAACAUUUAUUGAGGAGGCUCAACAUGAUAAAGGCUAGAUAUUUAUGCUAACACUUAACCAGUUUCACAAAGCUUUGUUGUCUAUUUGAGCUCCACAGAAUUCAAGGAUCCAAGAAGACUAGCAGACGGAGGACGUCCUAAUCGCUGUCAGGGUGCUGCCGAUAUUCAAAUACACCUCCGCCACCUGCGAGCUACAUCAGAAGAAAUUACGUCAAAAUCCAGCUUGGGGGAGAGCACCCCCAUUUAUCCAGCUAAGUGUUUCUACUCGCGUUUAUACUUUACUCAAAUAAUAAAAAAGAUGCAUAAUCAUAAAAAAACCCAAAUAAAUAUUUUGUGCUUUUAUAUCUUUGCUUAGUUUGCUAAAUAAAUAAAUAAAUAAAGUUUGCUAUGAACCCUCAUGAUAAGCUCUCACAUGGAAAUGAUGAAUAGUUGCUCUACCAUGACUAGUUCUCAAAAUUAAAAUCUCUCUCAAGUUUAGGCAUGACAGUUAUGAAUUAAGAUUUGCUCUAAACCUGAACUUGUAGGAAGGGUACAAGUCGUUAACGGAUAUGAUAUGGGAAGGUUGAGCUGCUGUUUAUCUGUUCCUAGAAUUCUGGAGAAUUUUAUCUUUGAAAAUCUUUAAAAUGUUGCAUGAUGAGUUCCUGUAUCAUGAAAGUUUAAAAUCUUACCACAGCCAUAUAUACAUGCUUAUUAGACUAUGAACCAUACAUUUACAUUUUACUGCUUAUGAGCAUUGAGUGUGGUCAAGCUGUGUAGACCCUUAGGAGCUUGUCAUACAGUUAAAAUCAAGAUUCACUUGCACGUUCACUCAUACAUGCUGCUUCUACUCCGAAAGUAUGCAUCCACAAACAUCCACUCAUUUCCAUCUCCAGAUUCACCCAAAAUUAUUUUACUCCUAUCCAGGAGAGAAUAGCCAAAAAUAUUAUCCUAUCUCUGCUAUUUCCCGUGAAAUAAAUGCUCGAGAUAUUUUGGUUACUACCACUUGCUACAUUAUUCUAGGAGGGUGAGUGCUCUGAAAAAAAAAAGUGAAUACGAGGAAAUAAAAAGGGACAAGUGCCCGGAACCUCGAAGGAAAGAAAAAGUGAGAUGAGAGGUAAAAAUGGACAAGUGUCCGACAGUAGAAUUAGGGGUACAAGAUACCCACCUGAGAGAAAAGAAAAAGAAAAUAUAGAGCAUCUCAUUCUCCUCAAAAAGCUUCAAAGUGCAAGAAAGGUAUGUAUCCCCUUAAAAGAGCAAAAGUAGAAUUAGACUUUCACCAUUGUUAUCACCAUACACCAUUCAUUCGCCACACAUGCACAUCUUGAUUUAACUUAUUGACUUGUUUCUCUAGAUCCAUGGUUUGACUAUGCAAUAAAUGUCUUGUAAGUAUGUAUGCUUUAUCUCCCACCUAUGAGCUCCAGAUAUCAAAACCUUAUUAGAGUAGGGUGAGAGAGAAGGCAAUAUCACUAUGCCUCAUACCAAAAAUACCACAUACUUUGAGAGAAGGCAUAUACCAUUACUGCCUUGGAAAGGAUCCAGAAAUACCACAAA